UACGAAGGGGGCUAGCGUUGCUCGGAAUUACUGGGCGUAAAGCGCACGUAGGCGGCUUCUUAAGUCGGUGGUGAAAUCCUGGAGCUCAACUCCAGAACUGCCUUCGAUACUGGGAGCUCGAGUCCGGGAGAGGUGAGUGGAACUGCGAGUGUAGAGGUGAAAUUCGUAGAUAUUGCAAGAACACCAGUGGCGAAGGCGGCUCACUGGCCCGGUACUGACGCUGAGGUGCGAAAGCGUGGGGAGCAAACAGGG
rnacentral:rRNA from 1 species